GAAGACAAGAGAGAAACUAUGAGCCAGACCAUUCUGGAUUGAGGCCAGAUAUGCAAACAAACCAAAAAAAAAAAAAAAAAACCUUCAGUGCAGCUCGUGAAUGAGGGUAUAACUGGAAGCUCUGCAAUCUUAUUUGGCAUCUAGUGGCAUGACAUUACAUUAAAGACACAAUGACAGCAGGAAUAUUUAAGACAUUACUCAGAGAAAUGAUUCACUUGAGGAACCAGAAUACAACAUUUUCUCAGAGGAGUUUACGAGAGGAAGCUUCACUCUCAUACUCAUAUUCAUCUGUGUGUUUGCAGUGUUCAUAAACAAAGUGUGUCUGCAGGUCACAGUAGAGGGUGUUAUUGGUGGUUCUGUUGUCCUGCCGUGUUCUUCAACUGAGCAUCAUGUUAAACUUCAUGACACUGAUGUACACUGGAGACACAAUGGCAGCAAUAUUGUGUUUGAUAUAAUCAAGGGUGAAGAUUCAUUAGUGUUACAGGACUCAGAGUACAAGAACAGAGCUGAAAGUUUCCCGCCUGAGUAUCUGAGACGAAACUUCUCCAUCAAACUCAACAAUCUUCAACAUAUUCAUGCAGGGAAAUACAUCUGCCACAUCACACCUUCGUAUGAACAGAAGACUGUACUGCUGAUUAUCAAUGCAAAAACAAGAAACAAAUCCACUGAUCAAGGAAACCAAGGAGAAGAUACAGGAGCAGAUGCAGUGACAUCUUCUUUGCUCUGGGUUUACAUUGUAGUGGUUUUGGUAUUAAUAGUGCCUAUAGCCAGUUUCAUCAUAUUUCAAAUGAGAAAAAAACUUGCCUCACUUUUUUUCUGUUUAAAUUGAAGUACAAAUAAUUGUAUGUGUGUAUGUACAAAAAUGCACUGUUAUAGUAUUGCCACAUGAACUGCAUUGUUCUUAUUGUAUGAACAGAAUGAGAUCUUGAAUAUUACUUAAAUAACACAUUUUUUGACGUAGCCAAAAAAAAAAAAAAUAUGAAUAUGUCAAUGUGUUGCUGCCUGAGUAAUUCUAUACCACAAGUGUUCUUUCUUAUGUUGUACUGACAAGUGUACUGACUAGCUAAUAUUAAAUACAUAUU